rnacentral:rRNA from 1 species
UGGGGAAUUUUGGACAAUGGGCGAAAGCCUGAUCCAGCAAUGCCGCGUGUGUGAAGAAGGCCUUCGGGUUGUAAAGCACUUUUGUCCGGAAAGAAAUCCUUGGCUCUAAUACAGUCGGGGGAUGACGGUACCGGAAGAAUAAGCACCGGCUAACUACGUGCCAGCAGCCGCGGUAAUACGUAGGGUGCAAGCGUUAAUCGGAAUUACUGGGCGUAAAGCGUGCGCAGGCGGUUUGCUAAGACCGAUGUGAAAUCCCCGGGCUCAACCUGGGAACUGCAUUGGUGACUGGCAGGCUAGAGUAUGGCAGAGGGGGGUAGAAUUCCACGUGUAGCAGUGAAAUGCGUAGAGAUGUGGAGGAAUACCGAUGGCGAAGGCAGCCCCCUGGGCCAAUACUGACGCUCAUGCACGAAAGCGUGGGGAGCAACCAGGAUUAGAUACCCUGGUAGUCCACGCCCUAAACGAUGUCAACUAGUUGUUGGGGAUUCAUUUCCUUAGUAACGUAGCUAACGCGUGAAGUUGACCGCCUGGGGAGUACGGUCGCAAGAUUAAAACUCAAAGGAAUUGACGGGGUCAUAGCUGUUUCCU